rnacentral:lncRNA from 1 species
GGAAAAGGCUGAAAGCAAAUCCACAAUGAAACCGUGUGAGCGAAAUAGUUUUCCCUUUCUUUUGGCCUCGGAGAGCACCGAGGGCGGCGUGGGGGUGGCUGUGUGCUGCUGCAGAUGCUGCCGUGUCGAGGAGAGGAUCCAGACGAGGUCCAUCCAUCCAUCCAGCAGUUAGGAAAAGAAACACUGCUGUGGAAGAAUCCAAUGAAUUUAUUAAUGAGCUUGGAGAAGCCUUUACUGUGGAGGUAAGCAGGAUGCUAAUGGGACGCUGUCACACACACGGACCGUGCCCCGUUGGUGUGUCGCCGUGGCAGGGGAACAACAGGAGAGAGCAUUGCCUUCCACCUGCAAUCCCUGCACUUCGGUGAGAACUAAAUUAAGUGGGUCAAAUGCCUGUCGUGUUUCUGUUCCUGUUUGUCUGCCUCAAUCGUGCAAACUUGUAGUUUUCUCUCAAUUUCUUCCCCUGGGCAAAAUAAUGCAAAUUAUGUUUUAUUCUUUGAAAAAAGGGGGAUCCCCCCUCAGAAAAGGGAGGUGCGAAAUAAGAUGCAAGUAGUGAUGUGUUUGUUCU